GGCGCAGCGUCCUUUAUUCUCCCACCCCCGCGCAGGCACGCGUCUUUCACACAACAAGCGGGUUUUACCUUCAGGCAGAGGUUCCCCAGGAGAAGCCAUCGGGACACUGAGCCAAGCCAAGUGUAGCGGGAGGGUUUAGCCUCCUAGUUUUGCAGUCCGGCAAACUCCGUCCCUAAUCUCAGUGGCUUCGGCGCCCUCCUUCGCAGCUUGCUGCUCCACUUCCUGGUUUGUCAUGGAUCACAGGCCCUGCUCUCUCCCUCCUGUUUGGGAAGAGGCGCUGGAGGGAGCGGAAGCUGCAGGUAAAGCCCCAACCAAGAGGGAAGAGGUAUGCGUGUGGGGAGUGGGUAGGUUCUCCUCACCCUCAGACCACGUUUCAUGCCAAAUUGUUCUGAUUCCUUUUUCCCCCAAAAGCAGCUAAUCCUAAACCUGAUUUGUUGGGGAACUUUUAAAAUAGCUUGCAAAUAGUGUGUGGGUGGGCCCUUUCAUAGUGGCCACACCAUGCUUCACUUAAAUUGGAGAAACACUACAUUAAAAAGCAGGUUAUUGCCAGGCAGUAAACAUCAUUUCUAAACAUUCAAGUUAUUUUAUAAUACUUUAAGGUUUGAAGUUAGUAUGUAGGAAGAGAGUAUAUUUUUUAAGGUGGAGCGGUGUUUAAAAUGUGAAUACUUUGAGAACUCUAGAAAACUGAGCUUUCACAUGGAACCUUUAUGCUGUGACAAAUAGCCAGGUUUUGUAUUACAGGUGAGCAUCCUUCAGCAAGUUAUUUGGAUCAAAUGCAGGUGUACAGUAAAAUGGACAGUGUUCCCAUUUAUUCAAUUUCAAUUUUAACCUUUAAUGGCAUAUAAGUUCCCAUUUAUUCUGUAUCAACUGCAACAUCUGGAAAUCCAAACUUCAACAUUGUCUGAUGUGCCUUUUCCAAAGCUCCACCUUGUGAAACACUGCAGUUGAUUUUAUCUAGGAAAAAAACUAAGCAAAAAAAAUGUGUCUGAACAAUUUAACAGCAAAAACUAAUAUACCAGUUCCAUUUAGUGAAUAGAUAACAAUGCUAAUUAACAAAAAAAAAUACGAGCAGAGGAUUGCAUGAAAACACAGCUGACACAGAGCAAACAACAUGAAAACAUUGCAGAAGAAGAUAAAAGAAGCACGGUGACUGGAGAAUGAAAGUGUCCAACAAGCAGCGCGAUUGACCCUGGCUAGAUAUUGGAAGACAACUUAUAUUCCAGAAAUAACAGAAUGGGAAAACAAAGUUCAGCAGCUGUAUCUGUUGGAUAAGCUCACAUUCCAAAUAAAAGGCCAACCAGCUGAAACAUAUUUAGAAAAUUGGAAAUUAUGGAUAAAUUACCUUAGUAAGGAAACAGGUGCGAAAUUCUACCCGGUCAUGUACUAACCAACUUGAUGUUUAACAUUGUAUGUAUUCUCCUUCUCUUUUAUUAGUGGAAACUAAUUUAAAAUAUGUUUUAAAGAUAGAUAAGGAGGUACUUAGAUAUGAUUUGUUAUGGCAAUGGAUAUGUUUUGUUAUGGCAAAGGAUGUAGAUGUAAAUACUUACCUAAAUGUAAACAAGACUAAAAAUGUAUCAAUUAUUACGUUAGCUCGCUUAUUAGUAUGUAAUCUUUUUUUCUCUGCAUGUCAAUUUUUUUUAAUUGACUGACCUUAGGUGAAGAAGUCAAUUUAUUUACUAUUACUAUUGUGGAAAUAGGCUAAAGAAGGGUAGAUAUACACCCAAGAUAAAGGAUAUCAGAUAGAUUAAGGAGAACGCUAUUAGCUUUUUAUGACAAUCCAUGUUUAUUAUGACACAUCUGUUCUGUUUUGUUUACUAUGUAUCCAUACUAAUUGUAACUAUACGGAUUGUUGAUCGUAAAUGUACCAUUCAAAACUUAAUAAAAUUUAAUUAUGGAUGAUGAAAAAAAAA